rnacentral:tRNA from 1 species
UGUGGCUCAGCGUAGAGCACUUGCCUGGCAUGCAUGUAGCUCUGGGUUCAAACCCCAGUA